rnacentral:misc_RNA from 1 species
UUUCCGUAGGUGAACCUGCGGAAGGAUCAUUAUUGUAUAACCGAGGUGCGAGGGCUGUCGCUGACCCGUAGGGUCGUGCACGCCCGAGUGCCCUCACACACAUCCAUCUCACCCCUAUGUGCACCACCGCGUGGGUCCCCCUUUGGCUUGUUCGGAGGGGGGCUUACGUUUUCACACAAACUUUGUAUGCAGUGUAGAAUGUAUUUUUUGUUUUUGCGAUCACGCAAUCAAUACAACUUUCAACAACGGAUCUCUUGGCUCUC